AGAGUGUUCCUGAACCGUACUGACGGAUGUGCUGCAGCCUGUUAGGGUCAAGAGAGGGAUAGACUUGCACUUUGCAUUAACACUAAGUCAGCGGUCAUGGGGUUUCUGUGUCUUUGGGCUAAUACUUCUUCUGAUACUAACAAAUAAAGUUUUGUCUUUUAGCAAAUAACAUUUUAGAUGGGAAUGUUGUAGAAUUAUUAGGCCUCUAUAAAUCUGUAAGGCCCCUUUAAAUCCUCUUGCUAUACCUCUAGGAGGCCCCCCAUAGUUUUACAAGGAAGCUUUGUCUAUAGAACAUAGAAUUUGCAUGUCAG